CCUACGGGAGGCAGCAGUGGGGAAUCUUCCGCAAUGGGCGAAAGCCUGACGGAGCCACGCCGCGUGAUCGAAUGAAGGCCUUCGGGUUGUAAAGAUCUGUUGACAGGGACGAAUAAGCAAUGCGAAUAGUUUUGUGUAUGACGGUACCUGUUUAGAAAUCUGCGGCUAACUACGUGCCAGCAGCCGCGGGAAUACGGAGGGAGCAAGCGUUGUCCGGAAUUUCGUGGCGUAAAGGGCGCGUCGGGGGGCGGUUAAGUCAGGUGUGAAAACUCCGGGCUCAACCUGGGGACUGCACUUGAAACUGGGGGUCUUGAGGGAGGGAGAGGAAAGUGGAAUUCCUGGUGUAGCGGUGAAAUGCGUAGAUAUUAGGAGGAACACCGGUGGCGAAGGCGACUUUCUGGACUGUAACUGACGCUGAGGCGCGAAAGCGUGGGUAGCGAACGGGAUUAGAUACCCCUGUAGUC
rnacentral:rRNA from 1 species